AGUGAAACUCCGCGAAAGAAACUCCGGUCCAGGACGGGCCUGCCAGCAGUUUCUACUGGCCCUGUGCUGCCUGCCUUAUGCAUCAUAUGUAAGAAAAUUGACAAGUACAUUACUGUGGCAGGCAAACGCACAAAGGACCAACUUUCACAGGCAGAAACGUUGACAGCAGGCCAGUUGCUGAAAGCUGCCCAGAUGAAGGAAGACACUAGCGUUCUUUUGCAUAUUAAAGACAAAGACUGUGUGGCCAUGGAGGUCCGAUACCACAAGUCCUGUUACCGACAGUACACCAGGUUCUUGACCAAGUCUACUGCAACAGUUACUGGGACCACUGAAGAAGAAGAAAAUGAGCCGACCUUCGAUGCCACCUACAAGGUCUUCUGUGAGCGGAUCAUCCGGCAAAGAAUAAUUGUGAACCAAGAGGUGCUGAGAAUGAACCAGCUGAGAAGAAUGUUCAUAAAUACAGUGAAAAAACAUGAAGAUCGUGAUGCUUCAAAC